GGCCUGAUAGUUCAGUGGUAGAAUUCUUGCUUUGGGUUUAAAUGUAAGAGGUCUCCGGUUCGAUCCCGGAUUAGGCCC
rnacentral:tRNA from 1 species